rnacentral:rRNA from 1 species
CUAGCUUGCUAGCUUGCUGACGAGUGGCGGACGGGUGAGUAAUGCGUAGGAAUCUGCCCUGCAGCGGGGGAUAGCCCGGGGAAACCCGGAUUAAUACCGCAUACGCUCUACGGAGGAAAGUGGGCCUCUGAUUCAAGCUCACACUGCAGGAUGAGCCUACGUCCGAUUAGCUAGUUGGUGGGGUAAAAGCCUACCAAGGCGACGAUCGGUAGCUGGUCUGAGAGGAUGAUCAGCCACACUGGGACUGAGACACGGCCCAGACUCCUACGGGAGGCAACAGUGGGGAAUAUUGGACAAUGGGCGCAAGCCUGAUCCAGCAAUGCCGCGUGUGUGAAGAAGGCCUGCGGGUUGUAAAGCACUUUUGUCAGGGAAGAAACGGCCUGGGCUAAUACCCCAUGGCUAUUGACGGUACCUGAAGAAUAAGCACCGGCUAACUCCGUGCCAGUAGCCGCGGUAAUACGGAGGGUGCGAGCGUCAAUCGGAAUUACUGGGCGUAAAGCGUGCGUAGGCGGCUGAUUAAG